rnacentral:rRNA from 1 species
UACGUAGGGUGCGAGCGUUAAUCGGAAUUACUGGGCGUAAAGGGCGCGUAGGCGGCCUUCUAAGUCGAACGUGAAAUCCCCGGGCUCAACCCGGGAACUGCGUCCGAUACUGGGAGGCUUGAAUCCGGGAGAGGGAUGUGGAAUUCCAGGUGUAGCAGUGAAAUGCGUAGAUAUCAAGUGGAACACCAGUGGCGAAGGCGAGUCUCUGGACAUUUCCUGACGCUGAGGCACGAAAGCCAGGGGAGCAAACGGG